GAUGAAGAACGCAGCGAAAUGCGAUAAGUAAUGUGAAUUGCAGAAUUCAGUGAAUCAUCGAAUCUUUGAACGCACAUUGCGCCCGCCAGUAUUCUGGCGGGCAUGCCUGUCCGAGCGUCAUUUCAACCCUCGAACCCCUCCGGGGGGUCGGCGUUGGGGACCUCGGGAGCCCCUAAGACGGGAUCCCGGCCCCGAAAUACAGUGGCGGUCUCGCCGCAGCCUCUCCUGCGCAGUAGUUUGCACAACUCGCACCGGGAGCGCGGCGCGUCCACGUCCGUAAAACACCCAACUUCUGAAAUGUUGACCUCGGAUCAGGUAGGAAUACCCGCUGAACUUAAGCAUAUCAAUAAGCGGAG
rnacentral:misc_RNA from 1 species